GCAAGUCGAACGAGAAAGUUUCUUCGGAAAUGAGUAAAGUGGCGCACGGGUGAGUAACGCGUAGAUAACCUGUCCAGGUGAUCGGGAUAGCCCUUCGAAAGGGGGAUUAAUACCGGAUACGCUGAUUGUUUUUAAGGGCAAUCAGGAAAGGUGGCCUCUAUUUAUAAGCUAUCGCAUUUGGAGGGGUCUGCGUACCAUUAGUUUGUUGGUGGGGUAAUGGCCUACCAAGACUACGAUGGUUAGCGGGUCUGAGAGGAUGAUC
rnacentral:rRNA from 1 species